UGGUUCCCGCAUNGAUGAAGAACGCAGCGAAACGCGAUAGGUAAUGUGAAUUGCAGAAUCUAGUGAAUCAUCGAAUCUUUGAACGCACAUUGCGCCUUUUGGUAUUCCGAGAGGCAUGUCUGUUUGAGCGUGAGUGAAAAACAUCAAGCCAUUGGUUUGUAGCUGGGCGAGUUCCUUGCGGACUGGCUCUAAUGCGCACUGGGCGCGGUCAGCACCGCUAGCAAAGUAGUAAUACUAUUCUCUGCGAAUGGAGUGGCCUGCACCCAAAACAUAAAACUUUUACAAGUGUUUUCACCUCAGAUCAGACAAGGAUACCCGCUGA
rnacentral:misc_RNA from 1 species